rnacentral:lncRNA from 1 species
AAGAAAUUAAGCAUUUGCAUGGUAAUCGAGUGACUUUUAAGGUUAGCUUCCUGUUAUUUUGUAGAUAUUUCUUGGCUGUGAAUUUUUCUUUUUCAUUUUUAAAAUUUUAUGACUAUUAGGUAUCAUUUGGUGAUUAUUUUAUUUUUUGGUUUCUUUUGUGUGCAUUAUGACUGGUAAAGAAAUAGAGGAGUUCACAAAGAGAACUACACGCAGUUGGUUUCUUC